rnacentral:rRNA from 1 species
GAUGAACGCUGGCGGCGUGCCUAACACAUGCAAGUCGAGCGGCAGCGAGGGGUGCUUGCACCCUGUCGGCGAGCGGCGGACGGCUGAGUAACGCGUGGGAACGUGCCCCAAAGUGAGGAAUAACUGCCCGAAAGGGUAGCUAAUACCGCAUAUUAUCUUCGGAUCAAAGGAUUUAUCCGCUUUGGGCGCGGCUCGCGUCGGAUUAGGUAGUUGGUGAGGUAAUGGCUCACCAAGCCGACGAUCCGUAGCUGGUCUGAGAGGAUGACCAGCCAGACUGGAACUGCGGCACGGUCCAGACUCCUACGGGAGGCAGCAGUGAGGAAUCUUCCACAAUGGGCGAAAGCCUGAUGGAGCAACGCCGCGUGCAGGACGAAGGCCUUCGGGUUGUAAACUGCUUUUAUAAGUGAGGAAUAUGACGGUAACUUAUGAAUAAGGAUCGGCUAACUACGUG